rnacentral:rRNA from 1 species
UGGGGAAUUUUGGACAAUGGGCGCAAGCCUGAUCCAGCAAUGCAGCGUGCAGGAUGAAGGCCUUCGGGUUGUAAACUGCUUUUGUACGGAGCGAAAAGGUCUGCCUUAAUACGGUGGGCCCAUGACGGUACCGUAAGAAUAAGCACCGGCUAACUACGUGCCAGCAGCCGCGGUAAUACGUAGGGUGCGAGCGUUAAUCGGAAUUACUUGGCGUAAAGCGUGCGCAGGCGGUUAUAUAAGACAGAUGUGAAAUCCCCGGGCUCAACCUGGGACCUGCAUUUAUAACUGUAUAGCUAGAGUACAGUAGAGUGAGAUAGAAUUCCGCGUGUAGCAGUGAAAUGCGUAGAUAUGCGGAGGAACACCGAUGGCGAAGGAAAUCCCCUGGACAUGUACUGUCGCUCAUGCACGAAAACGUGGGGAGCAAACA